AAAUAAGUUGUAAACUUCUCUCUCUCAUUUUAUAGACUUUCGCACUUUUGUAUUUAUUUUGGCAGCAGAAUUUCCAAAAAAAACAUUAGUAUCUUACAAUCUUUAAGGUCGUCUUUCCAAAAAUAUAGUUGAGAAAUUAUUAAAAACUCUGCAAAAAAGUUAUAUUAAAAAAAAAAAACUGUCUCGGAUGUCCCGAGAGGGACAUGAUCAU
rnacentral:lncRNA from 1 species